rnacentral:tRNA from 1 species
GGGUCGGUGGCGGAGUGGCCAAUCGCACGUGGCUGUAAACCACGCGGUCUUAGACCUACGGGGGUUCGAAUCCCUCCCGGCCCA